AUAGCAAGGAAACCUCGCCAGCCACACCCUCAAUGGUCCCCAGCAGUGAGAGCCAUUAAGCCAAUGAGUGCAAACUUGACUUAGUUAUGGUUAAAAGGGCCGGUAAAACUCGUGCCAGCUACCGCGGUUAUACGAGAGGCCCAAGUUGACAAGCUCCGGCGUAAAGCGUGGUUAAGGGACAACAAACACUAAGGCCGAACACUUACUAUGGCUGUUAUACGUUUCCGAAAGUAAGAAGCACAUUCACGAAAGUAGCUUUAUAUUACCUGAACCCACGAAAGCCAAGGCACAAACUGGGAUUAGAUACCCCACUAUGCUUUGCCCUAAACAUCGAUAGUCCCCUACAACCACUAUCCGCCCGGGAACUACGAGCAGCAGCUUAAAACCCAAAGGACUUGGCGGUGCUUUAGAUCCACCUAGAGGAGCCUGUUCUAAAAAACCGA
rnacentral:rRNA from 1 species